rnacentral:rRNA from 1 species
GCCAGAGGUAAUAUCACGGUUGAAUACAAUAGUUCCCAUUGGACCACUGAAGUUAAACACCGUUGCGCGUGGUUAGUAUCCAGAUGGGCAAUCGUGUGCUGUUGACU